rnacentral:rRNA from 1 species
UGGCCUCAAAUCAGGUAGGACUACCCGCUGAACUUAAGCAUAUCAAUAAGCGGAGGAAAAGAAACUAACAAGGAUUCCCCUAGUAACUGCGAGUGAAGAGGG